AGAGUUUGAUCAUGGCUCAGGACGAACGCUGGCGGCGUGCUUAAUACAUGCAAGUCGAGCGAGGUUACUGUUUUGGAUCCCUUCGGGGUGAAGAAGCUUUAACCUAGCGGCGGACGGGUGAGUAACGCGUGGGUAACCUACCCCAAAGUCCGGGAUAACAGCGGGAAACCGCUGCUAAUACCGGAUGCCUUUACCUUGGGGCAUCUUGAGGUAAAGAAAGGUAACGCUUUGGGAUGGGCCCGCGUCCCAUUAGCUAGUUGGUGAGGUAACGGCUCACCAAGGCGACGAUGGGUAGCCGGCCUGAGAGGGUGGACGGCCACACUGGGACUGAGACACGGCUCAGACUCCUACGGGAGGCAGCAGUAGGGAAUAUUGCGCAAUGGACGGAAGUCUGACGCAGCGACGCCGCGUGAGCGAUGAAGGUCUUCGGAUCGUAAAGCUCUGUCCUUGGGGAAGAAGGCGAAAGCUUGACGGACCCAAGAAGAAAGCCCCGGCUAACUACGUGCCAGCAGCCGCGGUAAUACGUAGGGGGCGAGCGUUGUCCGGAAUUACUGGGCGUAAAGGGUGCGUAGGCGGCCCUUUAAGUCGGAUGUGAAAGCCCGCGGCUUAACCGCGGAAUGGCAUUCGAAACUGGAGGGCUUGAGUGUCGGAGAGGGUAGUGGAAUUCCCAGUGUAGCGGUGAAAUGCGUAGAUAUUGGGAGGAACACCAGUGGCGAAGGCGACUACCUGGACGAUAACUGACGCUGAGGCACGAAAGCUAGGGGAGCAAACAGGAUUAGAUACCCUGGUAGUCCUAGCCGUAAACGAUGGGUACUAGGUGUGGGUGGUUUCGAUACCAUCCGUGCCGUAGUUAACGCAUUAAGUACCCCGCCUGGGGAGUACGUGCGCAAGCAUGAAACUUAAAGGAAUUGACGG
rnacentral:rRNA from 1 species